AGAGCGAACGCUGGCGGCAGGCUUAACACAUGCAAGUCGAGCGGGCGUAGCAAUACGUCAGCGGCAGACGGGUGAGUAACGCGUGGGAACGUACCUUUUGGUUCGGAACAACACAGGGAAACUUGUGCUAAUACCGGAUAAGCCCUUACGGGGAAAGAUUUAUCGCCGAAAGAUCGGCCCGCGUCUGAUUAGCUAGUUGGUGAGGUAACGGCUCACCAAGGCGACGAUCAGUAGCUGGUCUGAGAGGAUGAUCAGCCACAUUGGGACUGAGAUACGGCCCAGACUCCUACGGGAGGCAGCAGUGGGGAAUAUUGGACAAUGGGGGCAACCCUGAUCCAGCAAUGCCGCGUGGAUGAUGAAGGCCUUCGGGUUGUAAAGUCCUUUCGGCGGGGAAGAUGAUGACGGUACCGCAGAAGAAGCCCCGGCUAACUUCGUGCCAGCAGCCGC
rnacentral:rRNA from 1 species